rnacentral:rRNA from 1 species
GACGAACGCUGGCGGCGUGCCUAAUACAUGCAAGUUGAGCGCUGAAGCUUGGUACUUGUACCUACUGUAUUAGCAGCGAACGGGUGAGUAACGCGUGGGUAAUCUGCCUUUGAGCCUGGGACAACAUCUGGAAACGAAUGCUAAUACCGCAUAAAAACUUUAAACACAAGUUUUAAGUUUGAAAGAUGCAAUUGCAUCACUCAAAGAUGAUACCGCGUUGUAAUAGCUUGUUUGUUAGGGUAAGGCUUAACCAAGCGAAGAUACAUAACCGACCUGGGAGGGGGGUCGGGCAACUUGGGAAUGAGGCACGGCCCAAGAUUCUUCGGGGGGCCACAAGAGGGAAAUUUUGGCAAUGGACGAAAGUCUGAACGGGGAACGCCGCGUGAGGUAAGAAAGUUCUCGGAUCGUAAAACCCUGUUGGUAGGGAAGAAAGAUAGGUAGAGUGGACAGCUCAUCAAGUGACGGUACCUACUCAGAAAGGGACGGCUAACUACGUG